UCUGUUUUUACUGGUUUGUGCAGACCCCACUCCGUGUUGCUUCGUCAGCUUCGUGGGGUCUCCCUGCUGCCUGCUUUGUAAAAGGAAAUGGUUUCUGCCUCCAAUUCUCCUCAGCCGGAGUUCACAUUCUGUCUUAUUUUACAGGACAAGGUUCUUUAACUUUGUCAGGCACCUUUCCAAGCUCUCUUAUUUAUCAAGGUGAUGGCAUCUGUAGGCCGCGACUUCUAGGCUUUGCCCACAGUUGAAGUCGGCACAGCUGUGGUAACACUGUGAUGACAUAGGCAUAGCCACAUGGGUCCAUUGAAGGAAAUGUGCUUCCAGGACAUUAGACCCGGACCACGAAAGAAGGAAGACGGGAGCUCUGGGGUCCAAGAGAGUCUCCUUCUGGCUGUCCUAGGACAAAAUCACAGCAUUUUCGGUUCCAAGUUUAUCUUCCAUUGUAGAGAGUCUUGCAGCGCUAACCGUUCCACCAAAUGGAAUGAGUAUUCCGAUGGCCUGAGAAGAAGAGUUGGCUUUAUAAACAGAGAGAGGCCGAAGAAGGCAGAAACAAAGGCUGGAAAGCAGACUGGCCCUCUCCAAGCUACUUUCCUCGUAAGGCGGGCACAGGGCUCCAGAACAAUAGGUCACAGCGCCCUCGAGGCCAGCAGGGGGACCCCUCCGGGGCGUGUGAGUGAGCGCUGUCCGCUGUCCGCAGGCCCUGCACUGCCCGCCUCUCCCACGGCAGCCUGGCUUCCCUGUGGGGAGGCGCCCCGACCCCACUCGGCUGCGCGCCCAGGGCUGUUUUACACUGCGCUUGGCUCCUGGGAAGCUGCAUGGCGUCUCCCGAGCUGUUGAAGGAAGGAGUCACCCGCAGUCUCGGAACCCUCAGGGAGCUUCAGUGUGGGGACUGAACACCAGAAAGACCUUGACAGUUAGAAGGUGGACCCCAGCCUCCAGCAAGGACCCCUAACCCCUGAAGGCUGAGGUGAUCACCAGUGGCCAAAAUGUAACCGAUCGAGCCCCCAUGAUGAAGCCCACAAAGCCCACCAGCCAGGUUUGGAAAGUUCCACUGCAGGCACCAGGAGGGUGAUGUGCUGCCCGAAGGGCAUGGAAGCUCUGCCCCUCCACACGGGCCCUGCUGUUCUCCCUGCUACUCUUCCAAGUCCUUUGUAACAUCCUUUCUGAUAAAUGGAAAUCACCUCCAGAUUUGGACUCCCUAAGAGCUUGCAGAGUGAUAAUGGGCCUUCUUUUAAAGCACCAGCCACACAGGGUGUCUCUCAGGCUCUGGGCAUCCCCCGUCUGCUUCAUUGUGCUUGGAGGCCACACUCAUCAGGAAAGGCUAAAAAG
rnacentral:lncRNA from 1 species